GGAGGGGGAUAACUACUGGAAACGGUAGCUAAUACCGCAUAAUGUCGCAAGACCAAAGAGGGGGACCUUCGGGCCUCUUGCCAUCGGAUGUGCCCAGAUGGGAUUAGCUUGUAGGUGAGGUAACGGCUCACCUAGGCGACGAUCCCUAGCUGGUCUGAGAGGAUGACCAGCCACACUGGAACUGAGACACGGUCCAGACUCCUACGGGAGGCAGCAGUGGGGAAUAUUGCACAAUGGGCGCAAGCCUGAUGCAGCCAUGCCGCGUGUAUGAAGAAGGCCUUCGGGUUGUAAAGUACUUUCAGCGGGGAGGAAGGGAGUGAGGUUAAUAACCUUAUUCAUUGACGUUACCCGCAGAAGAAGCACCGGCUAACUCCGUGCCAGCAGCCGCGGUAGUACGGAGGGUGCGAGCGUUAAUCGGAAUUACUGGGCGUAAAGCGCACGCAGGCGGUCUGUCAAGUCGGAUGUGAAAUCCCCGGGCUCAACCUGGGAACUGCAUUCGAAACUGGCAGGCUGGAGUCUUGUAGAGGGGGGUAGAAUUCCAGGUGUAGCGGUGAAAUGCGUAGAGAUCUGGAGGAAUACCGGUGGCGAAGGCGGCCCCCUGGACAAAGACUGACGCUCAGGUGCGAAAGCGUGGGGAGCAAACAGGAUUAGAUACCCUGGUAGUCCACGCUGUAAACGAUGUCGACUUGGAGGUUGUUCCCUUGAGGAG
rnacentral:rRNA from 1 species